CAGAGGCAGAACUGCCACGUACAACCCCAGAACUCCGGGGGAGCUAGAGUCCUUCCCCGGGCCUUCCUGUGAUACACAUAAGAACACAGAAUGGGGGUGGAGGACUAUAAGGCCCUGGGAAUGCCAUACUUCUUUGCCAACAAGCUCAAGACAGCAUCAAGGUGCAUGGCAAAUCUGCAGGCUCCAUCUUACCUCUGAUUCAUCUGUAGACUCUUCAAGAGACCCAGUUUCCUGCAAGCACAGAGGAGAGAGGGUGUCAGGAGAAUAAAAACCAUUUGCAAUGGGAAAGAAUCAUUGUA